rnacentral:rRNA from 1 species
AUAUCAAUAAGCGGAGGAACAGAAACCAACAGGGAUUGCCUCAGUAACGGCGAGUGAAGCGGCAACAGCUCAAAUUUGAAAUCUGGCGCCUGCGGCUUCCGAGUUGUAAUUUGAAGAGGAUGUUUCGGUGCGACCUGGGCCUAAGUUCCUUGGAACAGGACGUCAUGGAGGGUGAGAAUCCCGUACAUGGCUGCAGGUUUGCUACUAUGUGAAACUCCUUCGAAGAGUCGAGUUGUUUGGGAAUGCAGCUCAGAAUGGGUGGUAAAUUUCAUCUAAAGCUAAAUAUUGGGGGGAGACCGAUAGCGCACAAGUAGAGUGAUCGAAAGAUGAAAAGCACUUUGAAAAGAGAGUUAAACAGUACGUGAAAUUGUUGAAAGGGAAGCGCUUGCAAUCAGACUCGCCUUCAGGUGAUCAGCCUUCCUUCUGGUUGGUGCACUCUGCUGUUGGCGGGCCAGCAUCAGUUGGGGCGGCGGGACAAAGGUAGCAGGAAUGUGGCUCACCUCGGUGAGUGUUAUAGCCUGCUGCGCCAUGCCGCCAGCCCCGACUGAGGUUCGCGGUUCGCCUAGGAUGCUGGCUUAAUGGUUGUAAGCGA